rnacentral:tRNA from 1 species
GGGUUGUUAGCUCACCUGGUAGAGCAGCGAAAUUUUAAUCCGUAGGUCGACAGUUCGACUCUGUCACAACCCACCA